rnacentral:hammerhead_ribozyme from 1 species
AUCCAUCUGACGAGUCCCAAAUGGGACGAAACGUGCAUCCUGGAU